rnacentral:lncRNA from 1 species
UCUUCACCCUUACCAGCUGAAAAAAUGUUGCCGCCGCAUGUCAACACUAGGCUCAUCGCCCUUCUUCAUUGGAUAAUUAACCUUCAUGAUCGCCAUCUUCUUGUUGUUGCUUUAUUAUUUCUCAAGAGUAAGCUUCUCUCCUUCCUUUCAUUUCUUGUCUUAUCUACCUUUUUUUGAUUUUCCUUUUCUCUUUUCUAGUUGUGCUCUCUCGUGGAUAAUGUAGGUUCACUAGAAAAUAACACAGGAUCUCGUCUCCUACUACCUUGUCUAUCAACUGGUAAGCUUUCCAACUGCAUUUGGCUAUUCUUUUAUUGAUGCUGAUGUUUCCCUUUUUGCAGGUGAGCUAAGAUGGAGUUGUAACGGCCUGAAAAUUUGAUAAAAUAUGUGAAAUUUGUGAUUUUAUGUAUUUGAUUGUUUUAUCCCUCCCAUAGUUGCAUUGUAGUAUUUUUGGGAUAUGUGAGUGAUUGACACGAUUCCCGAUGCAUUUUGAUAUCUUUAAUGUGAUACUGUGAUUUUUGAUGGCUUAGAGAGCCUUAUUUUAGACUUGUGUGGUUAUCUUUUGAUCCGUGCGGUGGAUGGAUGAACAAACUGUGCCAGCAGCUCCACAAUAUCUAUUUUAGGCUAGGUAGACCUUUGGUUCGGGUCCCGAUGCACCUAAGCUUAUUUCGAUCUUUUAGUCAGAAAGUUGAAAAUUUUGAAAUAUGAGUGUGCGAUCCACAUUUCGUCAAAAUGACCUCGGAUGGAAAAUUCGACUUCGUCAAUACAUUCGAAAUGUCAAUUUUAGGGGGAUAGCAUGUUUGGUGUGAUUUUAUGGCUUUUAAAUCUCAGUUCGAUCCUCCAUUUGAAAAAUUAUGAUUUCGAAUUUCGGGGGUCAAUUUUGUGAAAAUGAUGUUUUUUCGAAAUUUUGAUAUCGCCAUUGAGUUCGGACCAUUAAAUUUAGUGUGAUUGAAUAGUUAGUUUGUAUAUUUCAAACUCCAAAUGAAUUUCGAACACCCCGUCGAAGUUCGUUUUGGACUUAAAAAUCUGGUGUAAAAAAAUCAGCAAUAUAAAACCAGCUUUUACCCCUCUCUUUGCCCAUUUUAACCAUUCUUUCACCUUGUGUCGUGAGAGUUAAAUCCUAAAAUAAUGUGAGAGCUUAAAAGUGAAGAUUGUGGAGUUUGGGAACCUAAAUUAACAUCUAUUUCUUGAUUUUAUUAUGGGAUUCAAGGUGAGAUUUUAUCUUCUUCUAGAUUUUAUCUUUUUCUACUCUAAUUCUU